UCCUGUGGGCCGUGGCACCCUGGCCUGUGUCAGGAAUAGUGCGGCCAGAAGGAGUUGGGAAAGGAUCAGAUCCUGUGUCCAGUUCUGUGCCCUGCAGUGCAAAAAGGACAUGGAGGCUCUGGAGCGAAUCCAGAGAAUACCUACAGAGCUGGUGAAGGGUCUUGGUGCACAAGUCCUGUGAGGAGCACUGAGGGAGCUGGAGGUGCUUAGCCUGGAGAAAAGGAGGCUCAGGGGGACGUUGUCGUGGACGUUGUCCUAGACGGUAUCCAGUGUGCAUUUGAGUUUGCAUGGUUCUGCACUUGGAAGUCAGCGCACAAGGCCAUAAAGGGAAGGUGGCUUGUGACAAACUAAGAAAAGUCUGGCAAAAAAAUCAGAAAUAAAAUUUAUCCCAACUGAUGUCAGCAGAUGGACAAAAUGUUGCCAAAGGUGUGGCAGCAGAGGGAGGAAAUGCAGCUGGAUGUCCAACUCUGUGCCUGAUGAUAUUUGCCAGUUAGUGUGUGUUAACUCUGUGUCACGUUCCUUCUGACAUGGUGUGAUCUGGAGGUAAUCACAGCAAUUGCUGAGCUGUGAGCCACCAUGAUAAAUGAUUCUGAAGGAGAGAGAUGAAAGCCACCUUCCCUGUGCUUCCCAUCACUUGCUAAUAAUCUU